rnacentral:rRNA from 1 species
AGUGAACGCUGGCGGUAGGCCUAACACAUGCAAGUCGAACGGCAGCACAGUAAGAGCUUGCUCUUACGGGUGGCGAGUGGCGGACGGGUGAGGAAUACAUCGGAAUCUACUUUUUCGUGGGGGAUGACGUAGGGAAACUUACGCUAAUACCGCAUACGACCUACGGGUGAAAGCAGGGGAUCUUCGGACCUUGCGCGAUUGAAUGAGCCGAUGUCGGAUUAGCUAGUUGGCGGGGUAAAGGCCCACCAAGGCGACGAUCCGUAGCUGGUCUGAGAGGAUGAUCAGCCACACUGGAACUGAGACACGGUCCAGACUCCUACGGGAGGCAGCAGUGGGGAAUAUUGGACAAUGGGCGCAAGUCUGAUCCAGCCAUACCGCGUGGGUGAAGAAGGCCUUCGGGUUGUAAAGCCCUUUUGUUGGGAAAGAAAAGCAGCAGGUUAAUACCCCGCUGUUCUGACGGUACCCAAAGAAUAAGCACCGGCUAACUUCGUG